CGCCCGCCCGCCCUCGCGGCUCCCUCCUUCCCCGGCUCCAAUCCCGUUCCGCAGUUCCCCGCCCACGGCCGCCUCCUUUCUCCGUCUUCUCCCCACCUUCUGCCGGUGAAGCCGCGCUCGCCGAGCAGGGAGGAAAAGACCUCGCAGACUGGCAGAGUCCGCUGAGUCAGGCAGAACCUCGAAGCCAGGGAAUAGAGCUGGGCAGAUACGGAGAAAGACGGGCCCAGGGCACACGGGAUGGGAAAACGUUGGAGACGGGGAGACCCGGAGACGGUUGACCGACAGUCGAGGAAGAGACUGACCGACCGGCGGCGGAUAGGCGGGAAGAAACGCGUGAGCCAGUAGAUAGAUACAUAAGGAAAGGAGGACAUUAGUCCAAAAGAGAAAAGAAAGGGGGCAGAAAAUCGCUUGGAAGCCUCAGCCUCUUCCUGCAGCCCCUCCUCAAGGGUGUAUGUGAGAUCUGGCCCGACCUAGUGGGGGCGUCGGGGGCAGGUGAGGACACUUGGUCGCUGAACACCGCUCCUGAUUCGCUCUACCUCAUGAGAGACUUCUGUGCCAUCUCUUCUCCCAAGAGGACUCAGAGCCAAGACUGCACAGCAGUGUCUGCGUCUGGAUAGGAACUUCUGGAAUUGAGCUAAUGGGCCAUAGGGCUGGUUUGUGCUACUCUGGAGGGGAAGGUGGUGGGGAGAGGAUGAAAUCGGAUGUCUUAGAAGCUCUGAACCUAUUGCCCUUCCUGAUUUCCCAGCGUUCUUUAAUAUUGAGCAUUUCUUUUCUGGGGGCAGUAGUGGGGGUUGAACCCAGGGCUUUGCCCAUGCUAGGCAAGUGCUCUGCCACUGAGCUGUGUUCCCAGGAUAGCAGAGAGCAUUUACUGAAACUCUCCUGAUGCUUCCCUCCCCACUGCAGUUUCCAUGAUGAAAACUGGAGGGGUGGGGGAGGAAUCUGUGAAGCCAGUGCCCAGGGCUCCAUGCCCAGUACCUGCCCAAAGCAGCCAGCACUGCUGGCUCUAAGGCCCUCUGGGCCUCCUUGUCUCAGCUGAAUCCCUUCUGUGCUCGUCUUUGGCAAAAGCUGGGAAGUCUGGUUCUGAUUUAAAGGGGGCGGAGGACUGGAUUCUAAUCUGGGUGCAGGAAAGAGGCAGGGCAUGGUGCCAGUGUGGAUCCCCCCAGACUGGGAUCUGGGAGGGGUGGAUAUGGUCAAGACAGGAAGCCUUGAUUUUACUGCUCUUGGCUGAGUUAGCGCUCAGUAGGCAGCUUCAGAGGAUCAAUAGAGCAGCUGGAGUUACCCGGCCCUGCAGGAAGGGAUCAGCGAGGAACUGGGAAAGCAUGGGAGGUGCCCUGGGAGAGGUAGGAGUUAGGGAAAGCCAGAGGAGUGGCAGGGAUUGGAGGCUACUGGGAAAGGGCAAGGCUGAAGGUCGUUGUGUGUAUUUCUGCAACAUGAGAUGGGGAAAUUUGUUCAUUUCUUUGGACUCUGCAGCUAACACCUGGCCCUUCACAGUACUUCUCAGGGCUGUGGCUGGGCCCUGGGAUGCAUGCCAUGGAAGUAGGUUCUAAUCUAAAGGCACAGAGGGAC
ensembl:lncRNA